rnacentral:lncRNA from 1 species
UUCAUGUUCUGAGGCACAUCAAAUUGUUUUUCCGGUUUAGCCGUGAAGGUACCGGAGCACAGAGACGAAGUGAGUUGCCCAAGGUCACAUAAUUAGGACACAGUCAAGCCGGGACUUGGACUCUCCCUUGUGCAGUUGCUGUGAACAGCUAAUAAGGAACACAGGCGACGUUAGGGUUUGACAGAAUGUGCUGAUACACAAUGGGUUAUUUACACAACAUGGUAGUUUCUCAAGAUGUAAUUUAGCAAUACAAGAUGUGUUUCUCUGAUAGAGGCAAGAAGAGGAAGGAGCGCCUGUGGAGGAGACCGCACAUAUAUCUGAUACAGCUACACCCAAGGCACUUUCAGCUGGGACCCCGGACCCUCCAAGCUGCUGGUAGGAGGCGUUGCCUCGCAUCUCCUUUGUGAUAAACUGUCUUCUGCACCAAACCGUGAGCUCGCCGAGGAACGUUACCGGAUGAGUCACUAUUUGUAACGGGCUCAAAACCAUGCCUGCUAGUGCUAAACGUGACUUAAUUGUUGAAAAGUUGAAUGAAAAGAACUGCAUAUAGUUUGAGUUUUCACCCUCUCUUUGGGGAGCAGCCCAGUGGGCUGCCAGUGGAUGACGUCUAAGGGGAUGAAGGAGGCCCACAAAAUGCGGGUUACCAUGAUAAGGAAUGGAGGUCAUUGCAUAAGUCACAAAAGGCUUGACUUCUAGAGAAAUAUUUCGGUCAAUGCACUCUGAUUACCUUCACUGUGUCCCGGCCCCCUGGAGCCCCCAGCCCUCCUCAUGAUCCCUGAGCGAGGUUCUCCGGGGCUCUUCACAGGGCCUCUGCCUGUGAGGUCUGCUCGUGGAGCCCAUUCAGAGGUCUGCCGCCGGCCUGUUUUGUAGGAGGCCUGUCCUUCCGGCAGGUUUACAAGGCCUCGGAUGCACUUUCCCCCACGCAGGCUCAGCAAUGCACCCAUUAUCCUAUGUGUUUACCCUACGUUGGCUCAUCUAAUUAUUUUUGCCAUCUAGGCCUUGUGGGAUUGAUCACAGUUUGUGAAUUAGUGGGGCCUGAAAUCAUCAGGUUUUUCAGGAUCUUUAAUUAUCUGUAAAGGUGGCAGGAUAAUUGCCUCAUUUAAGGCAAGACAAAGGGAAUUAGUUAAACACAAGAAAAUGAGACACAGAGGUUGGGUCUGAGAAAUGGUUAAGUCUCUACAAAUGUGGAUUCACAUUCAGGACUGCACCCAAGGGCCGGUUCUGAUCCCAACAGGUCUCUGCUUAUGAGCCCUGCCUACGUGUGAUGGCCCUCGUCGAUUUUUGUGCCAUGGAGGCUCAGGCUACGGAAAAAUCUCUUACAGAGCCUGUCCAGGCUCCGAUGCUCCAGGUUUGUGAUUUUAUUACCAUCGUUUUCUGAAGUGAGGAAGAGGGAGUUCCUAUUGAAAUGACCUACUGCCAAAGAAAGGGUUCCGCAGAAGUGCGACACCUAAAAAUAAGUAUUCCAGGAAUUAUCAAUUGUUUUCAUGCUAAAUUUACUUAAUCGCACACACACACAUGCACACGGCUUUCAUUCACAUCUAAAAACGCUUUCCAGUCCAUGUAGGUCACAUUUUUUUUCUCCGUUCUUUUGAUGAACUUCUGUGUGCAC